rnacentral:lncRNA from 1 species
UUUUGUUCAUCAUCUUUGCAGUUGCAGGUAAGAAUAGACAAGUUUUUACGUGUAUCGGAAACAUCACUUGCCAUAUGGUGUGUAAUUCCUACUAUUAUAGUACGCAUGGAAGACAUAGUUGAUAUGUCUCACUUUCAAAGUGUAUUGAUAAAUAGCAAAUACACGUGUUAUAAUUUAAGUGGAACAAUAACAUUGUGUGGACACCGAAAAAUCUCUUGUAAUGAAAAAGGUCAUCGAUUGACUUCUUUUCUUUUUUUACUUCGAUCUUUUACUUAUGACUGUAUAUGUUUCUUGCACAAUGCAGAUAGCGAGCUUAUAGGAUGCCGUGAUUGGUCU